GGAACGAACGCUGGCGGCAUGCCUAAUACAUGCAAGUCGAACGAACACUUCGGUGUUAGUGGCGCACGGGUGCGUAACGCGUGGGAAUCUGCCCUUGGGUUCGGAAUAACAGUUGGAAACGACUGCUAAUACCGGAUGAUAUCGAAAGAUCAAAGAUUUAUCGCCCAGGGAUGAGCCCGCGUAGGAUUAGCUAGUUGGUGAGGUAAAGGCUCACCAAGGCGACGAUCCUUAGCUGGUCUGAGAGGAUGAUCAGCCACACUGGGACUGGAGACACGGCCCAGACUCCGUACGGGAGCAGCAGUAGGGAAUAGUUGGACUAAGUGGACGCGAACGCCUGACUCC
rnacentral:rRNA from 1 species